rnacentral:rRNA from 1 species
UACGUAGGGGGCGAGCGUUGUCCGGAUUUAUUGGGCGUAAAGAGCGUGUAGGCGGCUUGGUAGGUCCGCUGUGAAAACUCGAGGCUCAACCUCGAGAUGUCGGCGGAAACCACUUGGCUAGAGUCCGGAAGAGGAGAGUGGAAUUCCUGGUGUAGCGGUGAAAUGCGCAGAUAUCAGGAGGAACACCGGUGGCGAAGGCGGGUCUCUGGGCCGAUACUGACGCUGAGGAGCGAAAGCGUGGGGAGCGAACAGG